CUGUUUUCUAGCAAAUGUCUGUAAUUUGAUUGAAUAUUUACUAUGGCUUAUCACUUGAUUGUGAAAUUCUAGUAUUUGAUGAUGAUAAUAACGAUGAUGUUAGGAACAAAGUUCAGUCUUUUCUUGAAAAGUUUGCCUCUCACUUCAAUUCAUCAUCCUCUUGUUUCUUUUUCUCCUUUACCCAUCUUUUCUUUCUCAACCCAACAUCAAUUUUGUUCAUCAGAACGAAGAAAGCUAAGAUUGCAGGUGAGAAAUUGUGUUCCUGCCCUGCUCCUGCUCUUCCUCUUCGCUUCAUCUUCACCAAAUCACCAGACGGCCAGAUCAGCAGACCUCCGCCACUGCUUCCAGUGCUGGUCACCUCCUCCUGCUCUUCCUCUUCUUCAUCUUCGCUCACUGCUGCUGCUGCACACAGGCGGCUCGCCGGCUCCACUGCCUCCACACAUUGAUGGUGUUGUUGCUCUUGAUUGGUAUUUGGGUUGUCGGUGAUCAUCGAAAGCUUCCUCCUCUCUCUCCUAUUCUCAUUUUGCUACUAAGGAAAUGAUAACUUGCGGAGAAGUAGAUUCUAAAGGUCACUUGGAAUUGAGGGAGGAUCCAGAGGCAUGGAUUAAAAAUAACCCUCCUUCUCGUCUAGCCUUGCGUUGUUAUGAAAAGGAAGAGGUAGGAGAAUCAAUAGGUGAGCUCACACAGCUCAUCCGCCUGGAAUUCUUGUACUGUGAUUCCCUGAAAUGUGUGUCUAACACCAUCACUAGGCUUCACAAAUUGGAGCACUUGCAAUUUUAUAAGUGUUAUUGUUUGGAAGAAUUGCCGGCAAAUAUAGGGCAGUUGGUGAGCCUUACUCAUCUCAAGCUUGAUUAUUGCGAGAACAUAAAGUUCCUUCCUGAUAGCAUUGUAAAUCUAUCCAAUUUGACUUAUUUAACUCUCUCUUCCUGUGAUUCCCUUGUUGAAUUGCCGGCAAAUAUAGGGCAGUUGGUGAGCC